AACGAACGCUGGCGGCAGGCCUAACACAUGCAAGUCGAGCGCGCCUUCGGGUGAGCGGCGGACGGGCGAGUAACGCGUGGGAAUAUGCCCUUCUCUACGGAAUAGUCCUGGGAAACUGGGGGUAAUACCGUAUACGCCCUUUGGGGGAAAGAUUUAUCGGGGAAGGAUUAGCCCGCGUUGGAUUAGGUAGUUGGUGGGGUAAUGGCCUACCAAGCCGACGAUCCAUAGCUGGUUUGAGAGGAUGAUCAGCCACACUGGGACUGAGACACGGCCCAGACUCCUACGGGAGGCAGCAGUGGGGAAUCUUAGACAAUGGGGGCAACCCUGAUCGAGCCAUGCCGCGUGAGUGAUGAAGGCCUUAGGGUUGUAAAGCUCUUUCAGCUGGGAAGAUAAUGACGGUACCAGCAGAAGAAGCCCCGGCUAACUCCGUG
rnacentral:rRNA from 1 species